UACAGAGGUCCCGAGCGUUGUUCGGAUUCACUGGGCGUAAAGGGUACGUAGGUGGUGAGGUAAGUCGGAUGUGAAAUCUCCGGGCUCAACCCGGAAAUGGCAUUGGAAACUACCUUGCUGGAGGAUUUGAGGGGGGAUUGGAAUACUUGGUGUAGCAGUGAAAUGCGUAGAUAUCAAGUGGAACACCAGUGGCGAAGGCGAAUCCCUGGAAAAUACCUGACACUGAGGCACGAAAGCUAGGGGAGCAAACAGG
rnacentral:rRNA from 1 species